GCCGCUGUGGUGGAAUAGGCAGACACAAAGGACUUAAAAUCCUUCGGAAGAAAUUCCGUACCGGUUCAAGUCCGGUCAGCGGCA
rnacentral:tRNA from 1 species